AAUUCGUGGAAGACUGGCGGAUCAACUUAAUCCGCACUUGAUUCGCGAGUCUUUCACGGAUC
rnacentral:pre_miRNA from 1 species